rnacentral:misc_RNA from 1 species
UCGCGGCUUAUCACCGGCAGUCCCCUUAGAGUGCCCAACUGAAUGAUGGCAACUAAGGGCGAGGGUUGCGCUCGUUGCGGGACUUAACCCAACAUCUCACGACACGAGCUGACGACAACCAUGCAGCACCUCUGCUGGCUCCCUUGCGGGUCAGCCCCUGUUUCCAAGGACUUACCACCAGCGGUUCAAGCCCAGGUAAGGUUCUUCGCGUUGCGUCGAAUUAAACCACAUGCUCCACCGCUUGUGCGGGCCCCCGUCAAUUCCUUUGAGUUUCAACCUUGCGGCCGUACUCCCCAGGCGGCUCAUUUAAUGCGUUAGCUUCGGCGCAGAGGGGGUCGAUACCCCCCACACCUAAUGAGCAUCGUUUAGGGCUAGGACUAC